AUUGAACGCUGGCGGCAGGCCUAACACAUGCAAGUCGAGCGGUAGCACAGAGAGCUUGCUCUCGGGUGACGAGCGGCGGACGGGUGAGUAAUGUCUGGGAAACUGCCUGAUGGAGGGGGAUAACUACUGGAAACGGUAGCUAAUACCGCAUAACGUCGCAAGACCAAAGAGGGGGACCUUCGGGCCUCUUGCCAUCAGAUGUGCCCAGAUGGGAUUAGCUAGUAGGUGGGGUAACGGCUCACCUAGGCGACGAUCCCUAGCUGGUCUGAGAGGAUGACCGGCCACCCUGGCACUGAGACACGGUCCAGACUCCGACGGGAGGCAGCAGUGGGUAAUAUUGCACAAUGGGCGCAAGCCGGAUGCAGCCAUGCCGCGUGUAUGAAGAAGGCCUUCGGGUUGUAAAGUACUUUCAGCGGGGAGGAAGGUGUUGAGGUUAAUAACCUCAGCAAUUGACGUUACCCGCAGAAGAAGCACCGGCUAACUCCGUGCCAGCCGCCGCCGCCG
rnacentral:rRNA from 1 species